GGAGGGGACGCGCCUCCUAGAAGCCUUCUAGAAUCCGUCCCGGCCCCUCCCACCCUCACCCCAGACUUUCUAAACUUAGGGUGGAAAGCCAUAUUAUCCGUCUUCAGGCACCCUGUGGACUUAAAACAAAGGUUUGUAGUAUUGUACCUGUCCUAUGACUCAGUGGGCGGACGUUGUAUGCGUAAACAGCUGGGCCCGUGAAAGACGAAUAAAAACAUCAAAACAGCAACCGGAAAAAAAAAAUCAAAGCAGCCCUUCCUUAGAAACGCCGCUUUGAUCCCUGCUUCUGGGAAGUACACAAUUGCUUUAGAAAUAGAUCUUGCCUACCCCAUUAACAUUUUCCCUGCUCCAGCCCUUUUCAUCUCAAGGCACCGACAAAGGCUCAGUCAUCUCAGAGCCUCUCUAAGGAGGGGAGUGCGCCCUCCUCCAAGGCAAAGCAGAGGAGCUACGGAGGCUGCGGAGGUCCCGGAUCCCACAGCUUCUCCUGCCGCUUCCAGCUAAGCCGCCUCUCCCAACCCCCGCUGCUCCUGCCUUCCCCUCUUCGCUUCCUUCUUAUCCUGUCCCCUCUGGUGCCAGCUGCCGGACCUGGCUUUUCUGCUGAAUCACCACCCAGGUCGUAGUUCAGCCAAGAAGCCUGAACAGCCAGCUCAGCGUUUUCCAAAAGCUGAGUAGUUCUCUUUUCAGCAGAGGCACGUGGUUCUGAGCUAGGCGGGGCUGGGGGAGAAGAGGAGAACUAGACACCCGGAAAAGCCAGGGGUGACACAGGUGACGAGCCACACGACCUCCCGGAGCCUCGUUUUCACCCUACUCAUUGCUUUUCGGCCCUAUUUCGGGCCCUAGGGCAGGGCUGAUGCCCCCCAGAUACGGAGCAAGGUGGAUGGGCUCCCUGCUAAUGCUCCUGGGAAAGGACUAGAAGAUGGCCCAAGUACGUGGGACCCUGCCAUCCAUGUGGGAGACCCAAAUGGAUCCAAGGCUCCUGCUUUCAGCCUGGCCCAGCCCCAGCUGUUGUGGCUAUUUGGGGAGUGAACCAGUGGAUACAAGAUCUCUCCCCUCUCCUUCUCUGUAACUCUGCCUUUUAAAUAAAUACAUAAAUAAAAAUCUUAAAAAGA